GGUGGCUCCCGCGAGCGUCCCCCGGAACGUAACGGCGACUCCGCUCGACCGGUUUGGCGGUUGUCCGGCCCAAGUGUUGCCAACAUUCGCGUGGAAACGUCAGAUCUGCUUGAUUGUCCGCGCGAUUGUGCGUUGCAUGCACACGUUGUAACGAAACACGAAGCUCUGUGUGUAUUUUUACUGGAGAUAAGAAAUCAUUUGAGCGACCCUUUUAAUUCUUUAACGACGCAGUCCCUUUUUAUCGAUCUAACUUUCCAGUUUCGAUCGUUGCGUUCGAUUUUUUUCGUAAAAAAGGUCUUCUAUCUACCAAGUUUUUAUUCUCAUCUGCUUUCUACGUUUUUUUAUUGGUAAUUCAUGAUAAUGUCAAGUAUCUGUACGAUUCACAGAAAUAUUAACAAACGAUCUAAACAAUAUUUUUCCUUUGUAUUUUUAAUUUAAAUAUUCAUAGAUUCAUAGCGGAAAGUAGGAUCAAUAAUAUAAAAUUCGAAUACUUGUCAUUGCUUGAGCGAUAACAGUCAAUUGAACAUCAAAACAAGACGUGAGUAUAGAGUACAUACAAAGUGACACAUCAGUCACUCAAGAGAUGCACUCGAUUAAAGGGGAGUAUCUCCUCGAUCAUUGUUACAAUGUUACAACUUAACAAACACAUGUAAGUUUCAAUCAAGAUUAGAUUGUUAUAAAGAUAUAUCUAUCGAUUAAUGGAAAACACGGUCAAAGAUUUUGAAAAGUUUGAUUUGCUUAAUUCCAGAUCAUUAAAAUGUUACAACCUUGCAAAUGACAUCCAAAUAUUAAUGACGAUUAAAGAAGAUUAACCCUCUUGCGCUAGUAACUGGUUCACGGACCAUAACGAGUGACCAUACAAUAAUUCGUCUUCUUUUUUUUUUGAA